rnacentral:tRNA from 1 species
UCCAUUGCUAAGUUAGUCGAGUACAAGGCUCUUAACCUUGUGGACAUGGGUUCAAGCCCCAUGGUGGAG